CUGCGGGGAGGGUGGUGCUCUACAAAGGACUGGCCACAGACACGGGGAAAACACACACACACACACUCACACACUCUCGCACACACUCCAGGGAGUUCCGGUCUGAUUGAGGAAAAGCACAAAACACAUCCCUUUCACCUGCUUAAGUUCAGCCAUAAAACUGAAACGUUACAGCCACAAAGUCAGAAAGCACAGGCAGGGCUGAGUUAAAGUCAUAAAUAAAGAUUAUUGUGGCUGUCACUCAGGUUUUCUGCUCAUUGGUAGACAAAGGGUGAGGAGGUGACUGAAAUUAGAACAGUGGAAGGACCCUUCACCAAAACCUGGAAAGUCAGAAGAAUGGCAAGGCUGAAAAUGAUUAGUGUUAAUUCAUUGCAGUUGUGGUACCCUACCUGUAAGCCUCAGAAGUCAUGCGACUUCAUUUCCACCACUGUCAUGAAUCUACCCGGACUCAAGAGGAGGAUGCAGAGAUGCCACCUUUCAAUAAGAGGAUUAUCUAAGUUGCAUUGAAGAAGAGCAUGUGGGAUGGAAGAUACUAUUGCAGUAUUUUUGGAAACUAAAGCCUACCACAUUCUUCAAGCCUUACUAUCAAUUCUCUGUCCUCAGCAUUCUCCCCUUUGCUCACGUUAGCCAGAGUUGGUUUCUGCUUUUGCUUAUAACCAAAGAAUAAUGUAGCUGGCAUAACCACAAACAUAUCAGAAUAAGUAUAAAUAUUUUAAUUUCCUUAUUAAAAGACAGAAGCUCUCAGAAUUUGUAGAAACAAAGCAAAACAACCUCAAUAAAUUAAGAAUGUGGAUGCUUUUCAAAUCUCCCACAGAAAAUUAACAACAUUGGACCAGGCCAAAAAGUACGCUUUUUAUAAUUUCCCAAAAGCAACAAUCAUACACACCAUAUUAUUAGUAGAUUUCAGCAUUCAUGUAACAGAUCCAUCUAAAUCUGUAAUUCUCAAUUAUUGAAACUUUUUCACUAGAAUGACUUUAGUUUCUCAUUAUACUUAAAGUUACUCCCAGAGGCCCACCUGAGAAUUUAUCAUCAUCUUGAACAGCUCUUCUUUAGAAAAUAAAGCUCCAAUUUUCCUUUGUCCAAUUAGUCUACCCUUCCAGCUCCCCGGCAGCCUUCACUGACAUUACUGCUGUUUUUCACUGACAUUAUCGCUGCCUUACAAAGACUCUAUUUCUGUCCAUUGGUAGCAUUCUUUAUUAUUUUCCAAUUGGUCUUACCUCUUACCCUUCUUCUUUCCAAUUUUGUGCUGGACCUCAGAGUGCCUGAAGGAGCCUGAACUUCCAUGUACUGUCUUCCAUAUAAUGUGAUCUGAGGUGAAGAGCAUGGUCCCUGGAGUUGACCUGCCUGAAGUCAAAUCCCAAAAUAGAAAAAUAAAAAUAAAACAGUGGUUUUAUUGUUUUUA